rnacentral:lncRNA from 1 species
ACUCCUUGCAGGAGCCUGAAACAAAAUCAAAAGAUGAAGUUAGGUGAGCUGGGUUGCUGUCACACCAGGACUUCCUGAGGAAAGGAAUCCAAAGGAGAGUUCCGUGGCAAAUCAAAGAGGAAAAUGGGAACUCAGGCAUCUCAAAGCAAUGAUGUGUAGAGAGUUGUGGGCUAGCUGAGAUGCUGAAGUAGCUGUAAGAGCAGCCUACUACUCAGGCAGGAAAGUGGCAGAAGGAAGGACUCUGACUACUAAACUUCACCUGAGCGCCAUUCAUCAAGACAAUGCUGUGCUAGGAGCUGCCACGAAGCUCACUGUUAAGAAACAGAUGACUGUUUUGAGGAAAGGCGAGCAUUUUCUCCCCCAGGAGUAACAGCUGUCCAGACAUGGGAAGAUAACUGCCAAGGACCUGACUGCUAAUCUCUGGUGUUUUUCAGGUAAGGACCAUUUACCAUUUGCUAACCCUUCCAAACUGGAAGUCAAUCCUCAAACACAGCUGGUUAGUCUACGCAGGGCAGACAUUGCC